rnacentral:rRNA from 1 species
UACGGAGGGUGCAAGCGUUAAUCGGAAUAACUGGGCGUAAAGGGCACGCAGGCGGACUUUUAAGUGAGGUGUGAAAUCCCCGGGCUUAACCUGGGAAUUGCAUUUGAUACUGGUAGUCUUGAGUUAUUUAGAGGGGGGUAGAAUUCCAAGUGUAGCGGUGAAAUGCGUAGAGAUGUGGAGGAAUACCGAUGGCGAAGGCAGCCCCCUGGGAAUAUACUGACGCUCAUGUGCGAAAGCGUGGGGAGCAAACAGG